CUAACUGUCAUGAUAGAACCCUCAUCCAGUGACUGAUGGAAGCAGAUACAGAGAUCCACAGUCAAGCCCCAGGUGGAGCUCCAGGAGUCCAGUUGACGAUAGAGAGGAGGGAUGAUAUGAGCAAGAGACAUCGAGACCAUGACUGGAAAAAGUACAGAGACAACUAGCCAAACUAGUGGAAACACAUGAACUGUGAACCAAUAGCUGAGGAAUCCCCAUGGAACUGGACUCGGCCCUCUGGGAUCUCAGGGGACCCCAACCUUAGAAGAAAAUCUACAGACCUCUGAGAGAAGGAGAAUUAGUUUUUUCCAGGGAUGAGUUCCCUAAUUAUUUAUCCAAGUGGUCAACCAUAAAAACAUACACCUACAAACAGGACUCAACAGGUCUGUCUCAAACUAUAAAUAGCCAAUUUUCUUAAAAAACAUAUUUCUGGGGAUUUUGGAUAGUUGUUUGAUGAUUGCUGGAUUAUGGGAAUGAAGAUAUCAAUAUAUCCAACUUCAGUGGCUGUCAUGAAGAUGAAGAGAAAUCUCACUGUCUGUGUGAUCAGAAGAGCCCAAGCAGUCCUUCCUAACUGAGGUGAGGAGGGUUUUUCCCCAGGAAGAGCUUACCCAGAUCACAUAGAAUGCCUUCCGCCACCAUCAUCCUGCCUGUGCCCUUCAAAGGUGAGCUCACAGGGAUUUGGGUUUGCAGAAAAGAUUUUCUGUGAUUAAAUUAUGGGAGGGGUGAACUUUUUUCUGCUGUUAUUGUUGUUUAUUGCAGUCCCAAGAAAGGAGAAGAAAAGGAGGGGCUGAUGCAGGCUAAGCAAGGAAACUUUUUCAGAAUAUCAAUGAUAUCUGAAGAACACCUUUCAAUUUUACUUGCUUGUAUUUCUAUAAUCCAGUUUUCUCCAUUUGCCCAAACAUUUUGGAGAGACUGCUGCAUACACAAAGGCAUUAAAAAAUGUAGGAGAAAA